AAUUUUAGCCCAACAGGUUCCGACUGAAAGAGUUUGGAUGGAUCUAAACUUAUCCCCGCGAGCGAACGAGGAGCGAGGAAAUAAUUUCUCUCAUACUUUACAUAAUCCACAAGACGACUGGUAAACUUUAAUUUUCCUUUUUGUUACGAUGUUUAUUUUUUGUUGAAUUGAAUUUGUAUUAACACUCAUAUAUUCCACAGGGGGUACCGUCCGGAUAUGAAUUUUACAAGUUAUGACCCCACGCCCAAUUAGAAUAUGCGUAGUUUUGGCAUGGUCCAUCUGGGAGUCAUCACCAACAGGAAAAUGUCCAUCAUGGAAUGUUAACACAAUACGACUUGUAAGUGAAGUGAUAUAGCUAUAUAUAAAGUAUUUAUCAAUUUGAGUAGAUUAUCAUUUUGUUCUUUUUGUGUAGUGAAAACGAGCAACUUGAUGGUCCUGACCUUACUCAGUUGCCCGUAGAUGAUGUAUUUACUCGUGAUUAGGCAUAUGCUCAGAAUCAGAAAGAUAAUAGUGAUUAUGACAACAAUGCUGAUGAGUCUGGAGAUGAGAUACCCUCCCUGACGAGGGUGAUGAUGAGGAGGAAGUGAAUGUCGAACCUAAGCUGACGAGGGAGCAUGCUCCCCCAUCCCAUUAGACCAAGAGUGUACGAGUCCCACGUGCCGUUUCAUGAGCGGAAUAUUCCCUACCUUGAUAAUUUUCCAAGUAUGCCGGAUGUGGAUGCCCUCACAAGGGAUCUUGACGAAAUUUGAUUAGCAAUGUGGGACGAGUCCAGACCAACGGUGCUGGCAAAGGGCAUGUAUUUUCCUGAUAAAGCACGCUUAUCCAGGGCUUGUAAAAUGUACAACGUAAGAGAGUGUCGUGAGAUGACAGUAAGUGAGUCAACUCUGGAGGUAUACAAGGCUGUAUGUCGUAGAUACUUUAUGGGUUGCAACUGGAUAUUGCGUGUGAGCAAGAAGGAAACAGGGUUGUGAAAAGUGGGUAAAUAUAUUGGCACCCACGUUUGUGAAAUGAACACUUUCAAUGAGAAUCACUUCAACUUGGAUGUUGACUUGAUUUCACACUUGGAAGUGUCCAUUAGGUAAAAGAUCAAAGAGUGUAUUGCAUCUGUCCACCAGGAAUAUGGGUGUACUAUAACCAAAAGAAAUGCAUAUCUCGGGCGCAAACGUGCAUUUGAAACUAUUUAUGGUGACUGGGAUAAGUCAUUUUCAUCUCUAAAUAGGUACAUGGCCGCACUGAAACACUUUAACCCUUGGACUGUUAUUAAAUGGAAGCAUGAGCAGAGUCCAGGAAUACCAGAAUAUAUAUUCAGAUACGUGUUCUGGGCAUUUAAACUAGCAAUUGAUGGUUUUGUGCAUUGCCGUCCGGUAAUUUUCAUAGACGGUAUUCAUGUCUAUGGAAAGUAUGAUAUUAAGAUGUUGAUCGUUGUUGCAGUAGAUGCCAAUGGAUGAAUAAAUCCACUAGCUUUUGCCAUUUGUGCUAAUGAAAGCGAAGUGAUGUGGACGCUAUUUUUGAACCACUUGAAGCAUCGCGUUUUCAAAUAGCGUUCAGGCAUUUGUCUAAUAUCUGAUCGGUAUGGUGGUAUUUUAAGUUUUGUACGGGAUUUUCCUGAAUGGCAGGAACCUUAUGCAUACCACCGUUACUGUGUGAGACACCUAAAGGCCAAUUUCCAGAAGAAAUAUCCCAACAAGGUCUUGCAUGAUUUAAUGUGGAUGGCUGCAACUGAGCACCAGCACUGCAAAUUCAGGAGGCACAUGUAAUUAAUCCGACAGUUAAAGGAAAAAGCAUAUAAUUGGUUGAUGGGACAUGAGCUUCACAAGUGGACAUUGCAUGCUGAUGGUGGCAGACGAUGGGAAACCCUGACUACAAAUGUGUUGGAGUCAUUCAACGGGCUAUUGAAGUUUGCACGUGUAUUGCCUGUCACUGCCAUGGUCCGAAUGACAUUCAAACGGAUGGCGGAGAGGUUUGUUGAAAGGCAUAGAGCUGCAUCGGAAUUGAUGGACAUGGGUGUUGAAUUUACGCCAAUACCGAUAAGAAGAUUUGAUAAAUACAGGAGGCGAGCACAUUGGCAUUCAUAUUUACAGUAUGAUCACAACCGAGGUAUUUUUGAAGUUUGCACCACUAUCCGCUGACACCAAAGGAAUAAUCUACACACCGUGAAUAAAGCCAGCAAGUUGUAUUCAUGUGGGAAAUGGACCAUCUACCACAUGUCGUGCGCACAUGCCAUGAAGUGCUUUCAACAAGUUGGUUUAGGGGCAACCAACUAUAUUGAUAGGCAAUACAGUGUUGAUGCAUACGUAAACACAUAUAGUGGGCAGUUGCAGCCAUUGGAUUCUGAGCAUUAUUGGCCGUCGAAACCAUUUAAAAUGCUGUGUAACAAGGACUAUUUGCGCAAGCUUCAAGUGCAAAAGAGAAUGCGUAUACGGAACCAAAUGGAUGUUGGUGAUACCAUUUAUGCGCGUAAAUGUGGCAUAUACUCGCAAACAGGAUACGACCGUCGUAAAUGUCCUUCACCUGGUUUGGGUGGUGGUGGUAAUCCAACUCCUAGUACAAGUUCGUCUAAUGUACCCAACUAUCAAGGAUACACCUAGUGUUUUGUUUUCGUAAUAUUUUUUGUAAUAGGUGUCUGUACUUAUUUAUAUUGCAAGAUGUAUUAAAAUUAUGUUCCACGGCCUUGUUACAUCUUAUUAUCUAAAAUUAUAACCUUUUAAAUUGGGAUGAUGAUAUGAUAGUUCCAACAUUCAACUUAUUGGUGUUAGUAAAGAAGACCAAUAUGAAUAUUGAAAUUUCAUAACAUAACACUUCAAGAGAAAAAAGCACAACAACCAUAACUAAAACAAUAUUUAUGAAAAUAAAAGAUAAUAAAAGGAUAAAUCAAGACAAACACAUCCUAGUACCAGGUGAAAAAUGAAUUGGUACAAACAGGAUAUAUGCCUCCCUUCACGUCCACAUUGAAGAUAACACGCAUUGGUGAAACAUCAACCAACGUAAAUUUGACAACAAAACCUCGACUGAAAAAAUCUCCAACACAAAAUGUCUCCAGCCUACCUUGAACCUUCUUUGAUCACCAACACUCAUAUUUACAUACCACUCUUUGCCACGAUGGUGAAGAUACGCGUGUUCUAAUGUAGGAGGAAGAUGCUUACAGAUUUUUCUUGGAAUAUACUUUAAAAAAAAUAUUACUAUUAAGUUACGAAAAAUAUGAAACUGAAUAAAGAUAUACAAUACUGAUGUAUAUAUAUUUUCUGGAGUUAAGUUAUAACAAAUAAAAGUAUUUUGUGUUAAAGAAAUAAAGUUUAAUGGACAUAAUAAUUUACCAGAUCGUUGUCGUCGAUGCAUGAAUCAGUCAUAAUGUUGGAGAUUCUCUUCUUUAUUAUCACUGCUAGUAGAAGAGUAAUCAUCACUGCUAGUAGAAGAGUAAGAUAGGGCUCGUUUGGUAGAGGAAGAGUCAUCCAUAGUUUAGGGUUUGAGUAUAUUAGUGUGUUUUAUGUUUUGAGUAUGUGACUGUAUAUAUAGGGACACGCAUAGAAUAUCACGAUUAAAUACUACAUUUUGUGUGAAUAUAUAUAGCGCAAUUGAAUGCUAUAUUUUGUGUGUUGUCUUGUCGGUCUGAAAAGCCGACCGACUGCGAAAAAGCCGUUUCGUUUUAGAAAAAGUCAAUAUGUAUAGCGUGGUUAAAUACUACAUUUUGUGUAUUGUCUUGUUAGUCUGAAAAGCUGACCGACUGCAAAAAAACUAUUUUGUUUCAAAAAAAAGUUAAUAUGUAUAGCGCGAUUAAAUACUACGUUUUGUGUGUUGUCUUGUCGGUCUGAAAAGCUGACCGACUGCAAAAAAGCUGUUUCAUUUCAAAAAAAGUUAAUAUUUAUAGCGCAGUUAAAUACUACAUUUUGUGUGUUGUCUUAUCGUUCUAAAAAAACAAAACAUAUUGACUUUUUUUCGUGUAAAGAUGACUUGAGGUGGGAAUUGCCGCAGCAGAAAAAGAAUUUGGGACAGUGAACACCCAUUUGACAAUGCAAAAUGAAAACAACAAAUUCUACGAGAUUUCUUGGAAUAACUUUAGAACCUUUUCAAGUAUUAGCAGAACAGAAGGGGGGCAAAAUGUAGACUAAAAAAGUCUUUUUUCUUUCUAUAUAGUACUAGCUCUUUCUUGGGGACAAAGAUAAUUACUAUGUGGGUAUACAAAGAAAGGAUAUUUUGUUUACCUAUGCAAAUUCUGUUUGUUUGGUCCUUUGAAGAACAUAUAGAAAGGUGGAGUUUAUAUGGUUGAAUGAUGAAGAAGCAGUGAUUUUCAUGUGUCUUAUCGUUCUAGUUAUUUCUGCGCUUAACAAUAAUCAAUAGCAAAUAUUUCCAUAAAAGCAAGAUCUUGUUUUACGCUUUAACAAAUGUUUGAACCCCUUUAUGUACCAAGGUGCGAGUGCGGC
rnacentral:lncRNA from 1 species